AGCUUUGCGCAGUGGCAGUGUUGCAGCUAGUGGGGUUCAUCUGAGAUGCCAUUCUUGCUCAUAGGACACUUUCCCAAAUGUCCCCCACGAAGACUUGAAAUACAGUCUUCAGUGGCAAUUUCUGAGGCUCUAUGGAGA
rnacentral:snRNA from 1 species